GAAACGCUGGUUUUAAUCCAUUCCUUCAUCUGAAAAGCUAUUUCUCUGCUGCUUGCUCUUCCUUUUUCCCCUACCUUCUUUCCACUUAAAUUUCCAAAUUGAACCUUUGAAUUGUUGAACAAAAGCAGCCUAGGUAGUCUUGAAGUUGUGGGCUUCGAUCCGAUCAGUUGAUUUCUUGUUUCGCUAACGGAUUUGUGGAUUUUCUUGUGAGGCCAGCUAAGAGCUAGGGUUCUUGUGAUCUGGGAUUUUGCUUCAAUUGAGUAGCUGAUGAUGUUCCCUUGGAGCAAGCACUGGAGGAUCAUGAAGCCUUAGCCCCUAGCUCUUAGGACCUUUCAAACACAUCUGUAUAUUUAAAUACUUUUAAACUUGUAAAAAUUUGAAAUUCUGUCUAUAUUUUGGAUGACUGUAUAUUUGAUAUUGUCAUAUGUUAACUCCUAACUGCUCUCUCA